rnacentral:rRNA from 1 species
GUCUGUAUGAUUAUUAAUAUAAAGUCUGGCCUGCCCACUGAAGAAUUUUAAAGGGCCGCGGUAAUUUGACCGUGCGAAGGUAGCAUAAUCAUUAGUCUUUUAAUUGGAGGCUGGAAUGAACGGUCGGACAAAGAGUUAGCUGUCUUUUGUAUAUUAUUUGAAUUUUACUUUUAAGUGAAAAGGCUUAAAUAUUUUAGAGGGACGAUAAGACCCUAUAAAACUUUACAAAUAUAUUUGUAAUUUUUAAAUUUUAGUUUAACAUCAAUUACUGGUUUGUUUGUUGUGUUGGGGCGACAAUGAUAUAAUUAAAUAACUGUCAAUUUUAUUAAAUAGUGAUAAUUAGUUUAAUUGAUCCUUUACUAGAGAUUAUAAGAUUAAGUUACUUUAGGGAUAACAGCGUAAUUUUCUCUGAGAGUCCAUAUCGACGAGAAUAGUUGCGACCUCGAUGUUGAAUUAAGAUUUCCUUCAGGUGUAGCCGUCUGGGAGGUAGGUCUGUUCGACCUUUAAAAUCUU